UACGUAGGGUGCGAGCGUUGUCCGGAAUUAUUGGGCGUAAAGGGCUCGUAGGCGGUUUGUCGCGUCGGGAGUGAAAACCAGGUGCUUAACACCUGGCUUGCUUUCGAUACGGGCAGACUAGAGGUAUGCAGGGGAGAACGGAAUUCCUGGUGUAGCGGUGAAAUGCGCAGAUAUCAGGAGGAACACCGGUGGCGAAGGCGGUUCUCUGGGCCUGUACUGACGCUGAGGAGCGAAAGCGUGGGGAGCGAACAGG
rnacentral:rRNA from 1 species